rnacentral:rRNA from 1 species
UACGUAGGGUGCAAGCGUUGUCCGGAAUUAUUGGGCGUAAAGAGCUCGUAGGCGGUCUGUCGCGUCGAUCGUGAAAACUUGGGGCUUAACCCUGAGCUUGCGGUCGAUACGGGCAUGACUGGAGUUCGGCAGGGGAGACUGGAAUUCCUGGUGUAGCGGUGAAAUGCGCAGAUAUCAGGAGGAACACCGGUGGCGAAGGCGGGUCUCUGGGCCGAUACUGACGCUGAGGAGCGAAAAGCGUGGGGAGCGAACAGG